CUGGAAAGUCAGGCGAUAUAGGGUGAUAGCCCCGUAUGCGAAAAAGUAAGUUUACUAGAAAGACACCUGAGUAGGGCCGGACACGUGAAACCCGGUCUGAAUCUGGAGGGACCACCCUCUAAGGCUAAAUACUAGUUGAUAACCGAUAGUGAACAAGUACCGUGAGGGAAAGGUGAAAAGAACCCUUGUUAAGGGAGUGAAAUAGAACCUGAAACCAAUAGCUUACAAACGGUCGAAGGCCUAUGCCCAUUUUAUGGGAAUGGCUAACGGCGUGCCUUUUGCAUGAUGAGCCAGCGAGUUACGUUAUAUGGCGAGGUUAAGGGACAUCCGUUCCGGAGCCGAAGCGAAAGCGAGUCUUAAAAGGGCGUUUAGUCGUAUGGCGUAGACACGAAACCAAGUGAUCUAUCCAUGACCAGGUUGAAGCAAAGGUAACACUUUGUGGAGGACCGAACUAGUAACUGUUGAAAAAGUUUUGGAUGAGUUGUGGAUAGGGGUGAAAGGCCAAUCAAACUUGGAGAUAUCUUGUUCUCUUCGAAAUAACUUUCGGGUUAGCCUCGGACAAAGCUUUGUAGGGGUAGAGCACUGAAUUCACGCGGGGGCCUACCGGCCUACCAAAGGAAAUCAAACUCCGAAUACUACAAAGUUGUCCGGGAGAUAGACAGCGUGGGAUAAGCUACGUUGUCAAAAGGGGAACAGCCCAGAUCGCCGAAUAAGGCCCCUAAUUCUAUGCUAAGUGAGUAAGGAAGUGGAGUUUCUAAAACAGUUGGGAUGUUGGCUUAUAGGCAGCCACCAUUUAAAGAGUGCGUAACAGCUCACCAAUCGAGAAACUCUGCGCCGAUAAUAUCCGGGACUAAAGCAUAGAGCCGAAUUCGCGGGUGCAUUCUGUAUAAGAAUGCGCGGUAGGAGAGCGUAGUAUGGGCGUCGAAGAUGUACCGUAAGGAGCAUUGGAGCGCAUACUAGUGAUAAUGCAUGGCAUGAGUAAACGAUAAAGGGGGUGAAAAUCCCCCUCGCCGAAAACCUAAGGUUUCCAGGGUAAAGCUCGUCUUCCCUGGGUUAGCCGGCCCCUAAGCUGAGGCUGAAAAGCGUAAGUGAUGGAAAACAGGUUAAAUAUUCCUGUGCCGCCUAAGACUAUAGUGACGGAUCGACGAAGUACGUUAAGCGCGCGGACCAUUGGAUGUGUCCGUGGGGUAAUGAGGAAGGCAGAUAGGAAAAUCCGUUUGCAUAAUUCCAGGUUACAACUAAGGGGAACCUUCGGGGGAACCGAUAGCGUAGCGCAAGGCUUCCAAGAAAUAGAUUCUAACUGUCGAUGGUGACCGUACCAAAACCGACACAGGUGGGUGGGAAGAAGAUUCUCAGGCGCGCGAGAGAACUCUUGUUAAGGAACUCGGCAAAUUAACCCCGUAACUUCGGGAGAAGGGGAACCACAGAUUGUGCGAAGAUUUACUCUUCAAGCAAUAGGUGGUCGCAGAGAAAUGGCCCAGGCGACUGUUUAACAAAAACACAGCACUAUGCAAAGACGCCUAAGUCGAAGUAUAUGGUGUGAUGCCUGCCCAAUGCCAAAAGGUCAAAAGGAGAUGUUAGCAGCAAUGCAAAGCAUUGAAUUUAAGCCCUGGUGAAUGGCGGCCGUAACUAUAACGGUCCUAAGGUAGCGAAAUUCCUUGUCGGGUAAGUUCCGACCUGCACGAAUGGUAUAACGAUCUGGGCACUGUCUCAACAAGAGACUCGGUGAAAUUGUAGUAGCAGUGAAGAUGCUGUUUACCCGCAAUAAGACGGAAAGACCCCGUGAACCUUUACUGUACUCUGGUAUUGGCUCUUGACUUGUCAUGUGUAGAAUAACCGGGAGACUUCGAAGCCCUAUCGUCAGGUAGGGUGGAGUCGCCGUUGAAAUACCGGUCUUGACAAGUCGGGAAUCUAACGAUAUCCCAUGAAUCUGGGAGUCGGACAUUGCCAGACGGGCAGUUUUGCUGGGGCGGUAUCCUCCUAAAGAGUAACGGAGGAGUCCAAAGCUUGCCUCAUCGUGGUUGGCAAUCACGAGAAGAGCGUAAAGGUAUAAGGCAAGUUAACUGUGAGACCUGCAAGUCGAACAGAGACGAAAGUCGGGCUUAGUGAUCCGGCGGUGGAAUGUGGAAUCGCCGUCGCUCAACGGAUAAAAGGUACUCCGGGGAUAACAGGCUUAUCGCCACCAAGAGUUCAUAUCGACGUGGCGGUUUGGCACCUCGAUGUCGGCUCAUCGCAUCCUGGGGCUGAAGAAGGUCCCAAGGGUUUGGCUGUUCGCCAAUUAAAGCGGUACGUGAGCUGGGUUCAG
rnacentral:rRNA from 1 species